AGGCUGGGUUUCUGUACAGCACUUUGAGAUAUCAGCUGAUGUACGAAGGGCUAUAUAAAUACAUUUGAUUUGAUUUGAUUUGAGGUAGACCAGGAGCUCUGUAGUCAGGUACACCAGGAGCUCUGUAGUUGGAUAGGUCAGGUAGACCAGGAGCUCUGUAGUUCAGGUACACCAGGAGCUCUGUAGUUGGAUAGGUCAGGUAGACCAGGAGCUCUGUAGUCAGGUACACCAGGAGCUCUGUAGUCAGGUAGACCAGGAGCUCUGUAGUCAGGUAGACCAGGAGCUCUGUAGUCAGGUACACCAGGAGCUCUGUAGUUGGAUAGG
ensembl:lncRNA